CCUACGGGAGGCAGCAGUGGGGAAUUUUGGACAAUGGGCGCAAGCCUGAUCCAGCUAUUCCGCGUGUGGGAUGAAGGCCCUCGGGUUGUAAACCACUUUUGUAGAGAACGAAAAGGCACCUUUUAAUAAAGGGUGUUGCUGACGGUACUUUAAGAAUAAGCACCGGCUAACUACGUGCCAGCAGCCGCGGUAAUACGUAGGGUGCGAGCGUUUAUCGGAAUUACUGGGCGUAAAGGGUGCGCAAGCUGUUUUGUAAAACCGGAUGGGAA
rnacentral:rRNA from 1 species